rnacentral:rRNA from 1 species
ACACAUGCAGUCGAGCGGUAACAGGAAUUAGCUUGCUAAUUUGCUGACGAGCGGCGGACGGGUGAGUAACGCGUAGGAAUCUGCCUGGUAGUGGGGGACAACAUGUGGAAACGCAUGCUAAUACCGCAUACGCCCUACGGGGGAAAGGAGGGGAUCUUCGGACCUUUCGCUAUCAGAUGAGCCUGCGUGAGAUUAGCUAGUUGGUGGGGUAAAGGCUCACCAAGGCGACGAUCUCUAGCUGGUCUGAGAGGAUGAUCAGCCACACUGGGACUGAGACACGGCCCAGACUCCUACGGGAGGCAGCAGUGGGGAAUAUUGGACAAUGGGCGCAAGCCUGAUCCAGCCAUGCCGCGUGUGUGAAGAAGGUCUUCGGGUUGUAAAGCACUUUCAGAAGUGAGGAAGGGUGUGUAGUUAAUACCUACAUAUCUUGACGUUAGCUUCAGAAGAAGCACCGGCUAACUCUGUGCCAGCAGCCGCGGUAAUACAGAGGGUGCGAGCGUUAAUCGGAAUUACUGGGCGUAAAGCGCGCGUAGGUGGUUUGUUAAGUCGGAUGUGAAAGCCCAGGGCUCAACCUUGGAAUUGCACCCGAUACUGGCAAGCUAGAGUACGGUAGAGGGGUGUGGAAUUUCCUGUGUAGCGGUGAAAUGCGUAGAUAUAGGAAGGAACAUCAGUGGCGAAAGCGACACCCUGGACCGAUACUGACACUGAUGUGCGAAAGCGUGGGGAGCAAACAGGAUUAGA